ensembl:lncRNA
ACCAAGACAGCAUUGAUUUGAAAAUACAGUAAAAACCGUAAAAUUUGAUGCUUAAUACAUGCUAAAAUGGUUUAGAUUUUUUGAAGUUUUAGUGUUAUAACAACAUUUAAGCACAACUUUUGAUGAUUAACACAUGCUAAAAUGGUUUAUAUUAAUAUUAAGGACUGUUUGAUGUUGACUUUACACUUACGGUGGGUGUGCUUGUCAGCUGUAUGUGUGUAUAAGUUAGCGUGAGGUGUGUUAAUGUGUGUGUUUGUGUUUCUGCAGGGCAGCACUCUAUAGAUGAUCUCGGGCAGCUGUCAUGGCAGGAGCUGGACGUUCCUCUGUCCUACAGUAACCAUCCACACGACUAUACCAGCCAUCUGGAUCUCACUGGGUCACACACACCCAAAAUCGGUGAGUUGUUCGAUAUCUUUGUUUCCAGUAAAUCCCAAUCGUUCAUUUUGUCUGCAGUAUGAAAAUGCUGCUCAUGAAAUGAUGCUCUAAAGCAUCUCAGAGUUCAAUUGAUUUAUGACGACAUCUCGAUACUAUCAGCGUCUUCCACAUCCAGAUGGUUUGAAGUGUGAAGAACGUGGUGUAUAAUAUCAGAUUGGAGUCAUUAAUGGAGCUAGAUUUUAUCUCUAGAAAAGAUUUUCAUAAUUAGCCUCAUCAGAUGAGCGCUGAUAAUCUCCAUUACUGAAGAUGCUUAACUCCCCGACGGCCCUCGAGAUCAGAGACGCCUUUCACCCAAAAUUUGAUUGGGAUUAAAAAAAAAGCAGGGUUCUGACAAAAAAACAGCCUCUUGACAGGAAAUUAAAAGUUUAGCUUGUAAAUGGCCCCGCUAGCAGGGAGGAUUGUGUAACAAAACAGUAUGCUAAUCGGAUCUGCACAGUUUGCCAAUGUUAUUGAAAAGCCACAGUUGUAAUUGUUCUGACUAUAUCUAGUCUUCCCAAAUUUGAUUUUGUGUGAAAAAAGCUUUUCAGACGGCAAGCACAGCACACAAUCGGUCACAUCUCUCAUGGUGGAACGGCAUUACCAUUAGUUUAUUCACAUUUAAUGAAAUCAAGGUCAUUGUGUGCUAGAUAUCACUGAAACCAGUUAAUAUCAGCUCACUGCAUUAAUAAUAUAGUGUCAACUCCACCAGAGGUCCCUGACUAAAAUUUUGAUUUUGAUUUUUUUUUUCUUUUCUUCUUGUGAAAGAAAUACAUGAAUUAAAAGGAAACCAAAAUAUUAAAUGCCAUGGAUGAACAUUUACUGACUUAUCCACUAUUUUAUAGAGUUGAGUCAAAAUGACAGGUUUUACCUGAGAUUUGGAGCCAAAUUACAUUGAGAAAAAAUUAUUUCAGAAAGAUGGCAGCAUCAUUGUGUUGCUUUUACACAAAGAUUAGUACAUCUAUUAAUUAAAUCUGUCGACUUUAGUAAUCUUUUUUUGCAUUAUAUGCCAAUGGUGACAGUUCAAAAAUGCGGAAACAGCACUUUUCAUAUUGUUUUUCCCAAAGUUUGCAUGCCUGUAACUCAAGAAGUAAUAAAGAUAUCUUAAUAUCCUUUUAGAUUUCA